rnacentral:rRNA from 1 species
GACGAAGGGGGCUAGCGUUGUUCGGAAUUACUGGGCGUAAAGCGCGUGUAGGCGGUUGUUCAAGUUGGAUGUGAAAGCCUUGAGCUCAACUCAAGAAAUGCAUUCAGGACUGGGCGACUAGAGGACCGGAGAGGAUAGUGGAAUUCCCAGUGUAGUGGUGAAAUACGUAGAGAUUGGGAAGAACACCAGUGGCGAAGGCGGCUAUCUGGACGGUUUCUGACGCUAAGACGCGAAAGCGUGGGGAGCAAACAGG